GGAGAAAACUCAAGCUGGCACCAACUUUCAGACCUCCACAGUCGUAUAGACCUACUCUCGGAGAGUUUUUUAAGCAUUUUCCAUCAUCUUCUCUAGGCCUACUCAGCACUUUACUUGCUUUGGAGCCUUCAUAUCGUGGCUCUGCAUCUUUAGCCCUCGAGAAUGAAUUCUUUUACACAAGCCCACUGGCAUGCGGCCUUUCAGAUCUUCC
rnacentral:misc_RNA from 1 species